rnacentral:lncRNA from 1 species
CUGCUUGAAAACUUACAGUUCUGUUAAUAUAUCUGGAGAAUACAUAAGACUGAACGUCAUGUGGCUGCUCAAACAACGAUUUUAUUUGCCUUUGUUGUGUUUGUUUGUUUUGUGAGACAGAGUCUCACUCUGUCGGCCAGGCUGGAGCACAGCGGUGGGAUCUCGGCUCACUGCAACCUCCGCCUCCUGGCGGGAAUCAAGUGAUUCCCCUGCCUCAGGCUCACGGGUAGCUGGAACUACAGGCACCUGCCACCACACCCAGCUAAUUUUUGUAUUUUUAAUAGAGACAGCGUUUCUCCAUGUUGGCCAGGACGGUCUUGAACUCCUGACCUCAGGUGAUCCACCCACCUCAGCCUCCCAAAGUGCUGGGAUUACAGCCCUGAGCCACCGUGCCUGGCCUGUCUUCAUUGCCUUUGAAAAGCCCCAGAUCCAGCCUUCUAGCACAAGAAGGUAAGGAGGACGCUGCCCGUGAAAUCCAGCCCUUUUGACUUCUUGUUUAACUCCCAGAGUUUCUUAUAAGACCUCCUCAACUGCUUGGCAAUUGUGAAUUGUUCUUUUUAGUUAAGGCCUCUCCUUUCAUGUCGUUCUUUUGUUUUUGUUUUUCAAAAUUAUAAAUGAAUGUUUCCCCUUUGAGGAACCAUGACAAAUAUGCCUGACACCUGGACACACGGUUUCUAUGAGGAAUGGCCUUGCACCUGCAGCCGCUCUGUGACUCGCUGUCCUCGGGUCCCUGGAAAGGACAAGCACUGCUCAUGCCUGUGUUUUCAGGGACCUCAGCAUUGCAGCCUCAACACCCCACACGGGCGUGGUGAAUGGCUGUUCUUUCCUCUUUCUUUUCUGGAAACAUCUGUGGUCAAUUUUUUUUGGUGGCAGAAACCUUCAUUUUGUGAUUAACAACUCUGAGGCAGUAAAGGAUUUGGAAGGAAGAUCUGUUCAGGAUUUAAAGGACAAUGUACAAUAUCAUGUUACUGGAGAGUCCGUUGUGGCCCGUCGUUUUGUAAAUAGGACUUGAGUUUUGCUUUUUUGGCUCUGUCUUUCGCCUUUCAGCAAGCCUCUCACUUUCUGUCUUCCAUGAGUCAUUGCAGCAAGAAAAAUGUUACCCUUAAAAUGCCCUCUUUUCUGAAUUUUUUUUGUACUACAGUUAAGGGAGCUGCUUUCUUCUCUUGUUCGCAAUGUCCAAAAGGAAAAGUCAGCACAGCAAAAUGGCAUUGAAACGCCUCCGCCUCUUGAUUUGCUGCCAUUCCCCUUUAUUCUGGGAGGGCUGGCAGAGCUGGAAUGUCACCAGGUCCCCACUUGUCCUCGUGGUUGCCGGUGGGUCUCCAGCAGCAUGCCAGCGAGCUUCCAAAGUGCCCGCCUAGAGGGCCAGGUUUCCUCAUGUCUCAGCCUCCUCCCUUGCUGUGCGUAGCCAGCGUCGGCAGCCACAGAGGCAGCUGCUUCACUCACUCCUGCACUGGAGGGGAGGCAGAGGAUGUUCCCUGGAGCCACCCAGCCAAGUGUGGCGGGUCAUGGCGCAGCCCCCCAACUUCCCACCUGGCCAGCAUUCCUCUCCACUUCCCACUCUAAAUUAGACUCCCCUCACUAGGGAGGAAGACAGGACACAUUGGGAAGGGGCCCCAGGGCAGAGAUGACUCGGGCCUGCCUCUCCCACCCUCCGGAGUCACGGUUCUCUGAUGCCAGGACAGAUGAGCUCCAGCUCUCUCUCCCAUCUUCAAGGAGCAUCUGAAACAAACAGGAACUUAGAUGGGUUUCUUUAUGCUUUCUUGUGACAUUGAAACACCCUGCAGAAUGCAUGUGGUAGAUCAAGACUGUAAAUGAGUUUCUUCUGCAGUAUCUUCCUUUCGAAUGUAUGUGGGUCUUUGUGUGAGUGUGUAUCACAGACAUCAUUAGUGAGAAAAGCUUUGGAGAGCUCAUCACAGCUAGUUCUUUUCCCCCAGCAUGCAAAAUAGAUCACUGAGCCAGCUGUUUAUGGGAAAUAAUUAUUACUCCCUGACAGCACCUAGGAUUACAGGGAGAAAACUUUUAAGAAGAAGGCACCCAAUUUCAGAAGAUUUUGCUGAUUAAUUUUCUCACCACUUCCAUUCAGUCUGCUUGCUUGCUCCAAAAAUGGGUUUCUAAACUGGAAAAAAAAAAAAAAAAAAAAAGAGUGAAUACAUAACAGAGCAUGUUUCCCAGGCAGCAUUUUGUAACAGAACAAUCAUUUCCAAAUGUCUCCUCUCCAGUUAUAACGUCUUGAACCCUCUGCCACUCAGCCCCUUCAAUGUGAAAGGGCUUCAGGCCUUCACCCGAUCACAUCUUUUGAAUAGUAAACACAGAGACUGAUGUGUGUCAAGGAAAGCACACUGAGAAAUGUCCUUUCCCCCAGAUUGCAGAGUAGAAAAGCAGUAACUGUGAUUUAUGUUGCUAUUGUUCACAGUGCGCUCCCUGUUUAUAGUUCAUUGCAUAGAAACAACCCGUCAUUUACCAGAGAGGCAUGUGAAGAUGCGUUCAUCCAAAGGAAUGUUCCCUAAAAACAGUCUGUGCCUCCAGUGCCCCACCCCAGCACAAGAACGUGCACACACACACACACACACACACACACACACGUCAAGUCGAAUACCAUCUUGAAUGAGCAAAAAUAGCGUCCACCUCCAGGAGAUAUUCACAUUUUCUCAGUGAGCUUUCUCAAGCCAAGCCUUAAAUUGAGCUUGGAAUUUCCUGGAGCCCUGGAAAGGCACUGGCCUUCGAUUUAGCUCCACUGACCUUUGUUUAAGACAUCUUCCCAGAGUCCCAGUUUCCUCAUCUCUGAAUUGGGACGAUAUAAUCUGUGUACCUCUCACUUGGUGAGGUUCUCAUGAGGAAUAAAGGAGAUGAUGGCUUUAAAGUUCCUUUGAUAACUUUUACGUUGUAUUUAAAUAUUGGAGGUUUACGGUUUUUUAGAAACAUUUGAAGCAGCAUCUUCAAUUGGAAGUAUCUUCAUUUGAAGUAGGGAUAUCUUAUUUUUGACAAUCCAUGUACUAAGACGUUAAAAUAACUUACAUUACAAUAAUUAAUCCACUUCUGUUUAUUCCCUAUCUGAAUAGUAAUUGCAUCUUUACCAGCUGAUGUGAAGCAAACUGUAUGCCAUUUGUCUUUACUUGGCAAUAAUCAUAACUUAUACAUAAGAGGUCUUACUACUCGAUAGACAUCCUAAGUGUUUUCACAGAUUCCCUCAUCUGAUCCUCUCAAAUCUUAUCAAUACCAUUCACAGAUUCACUCCUUUGAUCCUCCUCAUAUCCUAGAAAUACCAUUCUUCCUCUUUUGCAGCUGGAGAAGUCAAAGCUCAGGGAAAUGAAGUAGGUUGUUCAUGGUUCACAGGUAGUAAGUGACAAAGCCAGAGUCUGAAUUCUGUUUUUUUUUUUUUUUUUUUUUUUUUUGAGACGGAGUCUUGCUCUGUUGCCCAGGCUAGAGUGCAGUGGCAUGAUCUCGGCUCACUGCAACCUCCAUCUCCAGGGUUCAAGUGAUUAUCCUGCCUCAGCCUCCCAAGUAGCUGAGAUUACAGGCACGUGCCACCACAACUGGCUCAUUUUUUAUAUUUUUAGUAGGGAUGGGGUUUCACCAUGUUGGUCAGGCUCGAACUCCUGACCUUGUGAUCCACCUGCCUUGACCUCCCAAAGUGCUGGGAUUACAGGCGUGAGCCACCACGCCCAACCCCAGAAUCUGAAUUUAUAACCAAAUGCUGUGGGCAUCCAUCAUCUUAUUCUCUAGUAUCAAAGGAAAUCUGAAUGAGUGUGGGAAUUUCCAAAUUGCCUUAUAAUUACUCAAAUUAAUUUACUGCUUGUAACAACUUUCUCAAAAGAAAAGCAGGUAGUGUUAUUCUAUUUUAGAAAAAAAAAACCUUAAAAAUGAGAUCAUAUGUCCAAAGUAAUCCACUAGUAGCCCUGAGAUUAAAACCGCUGCCUCUGAUGCUUUGGUUUGCGGACAAUGACCCACUGCAAUGGUGAAUUAUGUGCCACCUUAUUGUAAGUGGUAGAACAGAGAAUUGGGGUUUCCAGGAAGAUGGCCUAGCUCAGAGCUCAUGCCUGAGGCCCCACCUGCCCCUGGGCUAGUGGGUGCUCCAUGCCAGGCACCUGGGUAGACUUGAGCUGCUGUGUUCUGCUCAGACUAUACAACUGUAUCAGUUGGAAUUGACUCAGGAAAACUGACCUUGUACAGAGGAAGGGGUUUCAUACAGGAAAACAGGGCUUACCCCGCUGUUGGAGGGCCAGCCCUGAGGCCAGAAAGGGACCUUUCUGAUCUGCACAUGUGGAGGCCACAGAGAGGCUUCAUCUCAGGAAAGGGCCCAAUGGCCUUGGACAAAGCUCCACGUGCCUCAUCUGCUGAGACCCUAUAUCUGCUAAGGUCCCACACCUGCUGAGGUCCCACAUCUACUGAGGCCCAUCCCUGCUGUGGCUGCAUAGCUGCCUGCAUCCACCCCAGAGCCUGUGGCUUCUCCCUUCUUCCUGCCUAAGUGGGUCUGGAGACAGGGGUGUGGACAAGGCCCUGGGUUCUGAGUCCCGCCCUCAGGCCUGGGAGUGGGGACAGGUGGCACCUGUGUCAACACCAGCAGGCAGGAACCUGGGUUCACCUUUGGGACCCCCUGCCCACCCCAGGUGAGGGCCAGCACAUGGCAGCCUGGCCUCCCAGGACUCAGGUCCUGCCUGGGGAGAAUCCGCACGCGUGGUGUACUGCCAUUGCCUCCAGAUGCCCAGCCACAUAGCUGGAAAGAAAGGAGCAACGAUUUAAAAUAAUCACAGUGAAAACUCAUUGAAAAAAAUGCUGUUCACUGUGGACGGCCACAUAUAGACUGCAAGCUAGACCAUAGAUUCUGGUUAUAUUCUGUGAAUAUUUAUUGCACUUUCUAAAUGCCAGGCAAGUUUCUAAGCACUGAGCAUACAUUCCAAGAAGAUAUUCUAGAAAUCCCCACCUUCUGGAAGUCACCUUCCACCAGAGGCCGUCAGAUAAUCAGAAAAUAAAUAUAUAAAAUGUCAGGUGGGAUGUGUCCUAGGGGAAGAUGAAUCAGGAGAAUGGUAGGAUGAGGCAGGAGGUAGGAGAGGUUGGCGGGGGCGGUGAUGCCUUACGGGAGGGCAGCAUGACAUUUGAGGAGUGGCGCAAGGAAGGACACAGGCCUGUGGAUGUGCGAUGGAGGACGUCCCCUGCAGAGGGAGUGGCUGGAAAAAGCUGGUGGGGACAGAGCCGGUAGACGGUGGGGUGGGGCUGGUGGGACUCGCCACUGGAAUGCUUGCAGACUGUGACACAGGUUUUGUGUUUUGCUUGGAGUGAGGUGGGAAGGCACCAAGAAGAUCUGAGAGGAGAAGCGAGGGAAUCUGACCAGAGAUUUAAAAGGAUUGUGCCUAUGGGGCGCCGUGGCUCACACCUGCAAUCCAACACCCUAGGAGGCUGAGGAGGGAGGAUCACUUGAGCUGGGGAGGUCGAGGCUUCCAUGAGCCCUGUUCAUGCCACUGCACUUCAGCCUGGGUGACAGAGCAAGACCCCGUCUCUAAAAAACAAAGCAAAAUGAGUAAAAAAGAAAGGAUCGCAGGGAUGAUUGUGUUGACAACAGAACCCAGCAGCUGCCUCUAGAAGGGCCCUGUGUUGGGCUCGGUGCUCUCCUGGGCAACCCUGAAAUCCUUAGUCAUUUUUUAAGGAGAGGCUGGUGUUAGUGCCCAGGGCUAUAGACCAGGCGGCUUCCCCAGAAGACACUCAUUCUUUCCUUCUCGGGGGGGCUGGAUCUGAGGUCAGGGUGUCCGUGUGCAGGGGCUGCCUUCUCACUGUGUCCUCACAGGGCCAUCCCUCUGUGUGCAUCUGGGUCUUAACUGCCUCUUUUUAUAAGGAUGCCAGUCCUGCUGGGUGAGGACCUACCCAUGCGGCCUUAUUUUACCCAAAUCACAUCUGUAAAUGCCCGGUCUCCAGACGCAGCUACAUCUCGCAGCCCUGGGAACAGGCCUCUGUGUAUGAAUUUUGGGGGACACCACUCAGCCUGACGAUCCCUCUGUUCUGAGUAUUUGGGCCUGGGCAACUGGAAGAGGGGGGACCCUGGUUAUUAACUUGGGGAGACCAAGUCCAGCUUUCCUGGAUGGAGGGGAAAAAUGGGAGUUUCUCCCCUCUGAGUCCGAAACAAAAUUGUGCAGUUGUCUAGUGGAAAACGGACACAGGUGUGCUGUUCAGGGGAGCAGGGGAGACGGGGACGUGACCUGGGCGUAGACUUUAAUGGAAGCCCUCUCGGUGGUGGAGCAUGGAGAAGCCUCGGUGUCAGAGCAUGAGGAGGAGCAAGGUGAGUAGCAUGUGUGCAGAGGGUGCACCUGCUGAAGAAACCAGGGACUGCUGUGUCCCCGACACCAAGCAAAGGAAGGUGUUAACAGAGGGGCCUGAGGUUGACGGUGGCCGUGGGGGCCUAGGGGACUAGGAUGGGGACUGUCCCCUGGAUCUGGCUCUGAUGGUCAGUGCAGGGGCAGCGUCCGCCUGGACGGGAGAAAGAGCCCAGAGGGGAGGAGGGGAGGAAGGCUCAGGCCGCAGCUGCUCAUCUCAGCAGGUCUUUCCUCCAAACUCCUCCUGGCUCACAGACUCUCAGGAAAUCACACCAGAAAGCAAAGGAGAGUGCCAUUACUCUGGAGGCCAUUUGAUUAAGCCCACUCUAAUUGUUUGUUAGUUCCCAAACAGCAAAUUUUUGUAUUUUCAUUAUUAGUAGUUAAAAAUUACUUGGAUACUCCACGGUUGGCAGAGUUAUGCAGACGGUCUCACCUGCGGGCUGCACGCAGCCGCUCCGUGGCGCACACAUGUUCUGCCGAAGUCCACGUUUCCGUGCAGCCCUCACCACCUGGACGCCAGGGCGGCGCGGGGGAGCCCUCACCUCACGCCUCACCCGGUGUGGACGUGGCACCUGCUCGCUGCCCCUCCCCUCUGAGCAGCUCCGUCUGCACACUGCGUAAGUUUGGCUGCAAGGCAACAAGGAAACUAAGCUGGAGUCCGGCGUGGCAUGUUGCCAGGGCCACCGGCAGGACAAGGAGCAAUAAAAGUUGAAUUUUAAAAAACAGAUAAAUAAUGUAUGUGUAGAAAAAGGAAGAAACCAGGUACAGAAGUGCACGUAGGUACCGUAUCCACAGAUUGAACACACAUGUGUGCAAAUACGUAUCCCCACACACGUGCACACACACAUACAUACACACACACAUACAUACACACACACACACACACACACGUAGCUGUCAUGUAGAAGCCACUGUUUUUUCAGCUCCAUUUGUGACUUUUAUCAUAACACACUGCCCUCCAGCGCAGCAAUGCCAGGUCUCUUAUAAAUAUUUAUGGCAACCUUUAGCUCUUCGGAAAGCAGCUCCUUCUGCCAUGUGAGGCGCUGCUCUGAGAGGUGACAGGGGUCCCAGGCUUCUCCGCUCUGCCGUGGCUCACAGGCUGUGGCACCUCUCCAUGGACCAGCUCCGGUGGGACGGGUCCUCUAGUUCACUGCCAGCAGGGUGACGGCGGAAACCCUGAAUGCAGCGAUUUUGAGAAGCAAAAUCGGCUGUCGUGUGUUUCUUUUAGGAACUGCAUCGGUGCGGUUGUGAUGAAACCAUUUCGCAUUUACUGAGUGUGCACGCACUCAAUUACAACACGAACAUGUGAAACCAGAACAACGCACAGGAGGAAGGUUGGACAUCAGAACUCUCUGUACCUGCUCUGCAAUUUUUCUGCAAAUCUAAACUUGCUCUGAAAAACAACAUCCAUUUUAUUUAUUGAUCGAUUUGAUUUUUCUGUAGAUACGGUGUUUCGUCCUGUUGCCCAGGCUGGUCUUCUAGGCUCAGCCAUCUGCCCAGCUCAGCCUCCCCAAGUGCUGGGAUUAUGGGAGUGAGCCACCUCGCCCAGCCUAAAAUCCAUUUUAAAAAAACAUGAGAAAUGAUUUGCAUUUGGGACUGAAGAAGAAUGAAAGGCACCUGUAGUUUUGACGCCAAGAAAGCCUAGUUAUACCUUUAUUUUAUUAACCUACUAUUCACCAGGUUUCUGAGUGUGGUUUCUCAGUGUGACCCUAACCCGUCUUAGGAGAGGCGGUGCUAGGAACUGCUAUAGGGGGGCACAGCAGGUGGUCCCUAAAGUUGUGAUGCUCAAGAGAUUCACAGAAUAUCUGAAGAAAAAAGACACGUUUGUUUUUGCAUUUUCUGUGGUUUUGCUGUUGUUGUUCAUCACAAAGUUUGCAGGUUUGCUACAAUUGUGAACAUUCAGAACAAAACACAGAAUAAGAUAAAAAUCAUCAGCUAUGCAAUUGUUUGUUUUUUAAAUACACAUUCUCAAGAUUUUGGUGUUGCUUUUUCUCAGGAUUUUUCUCUGGGAACAUGUUUAUCUUUUCCUGUAGCUGGAAUGACACUCAAUUUUUAGUUUGGGUUUCUUCUUUUAUUCAUCAUUAUCCUGUGGCAAGUGUUUCCCCAGGGUAUGAAAUAUUAUUAAAAGUACAGACUUUAAGGGCUGUUUUGCUGUUUAUCACGUGUAUCAUAAUGUAUUUAAUGCUCCCCAUCUUUUUUUGAAUAUUUAAGUAGCUUUCUGGGUUGAAAUCUUGUAAAUUACACUGCAAUAAAUGUGUUUAUCAUUGGUGC